rnacentral:rRNA from 1 species
UAGGGAAUCUUCCACAGUGGGCGAAAGCCUGAUGGAGCAACGCCGCGUGUGUGAUGAAGGCUUUCGGGUCGUAAAGCACUGUUGUAUGGGAAGAACAGCUAGAAUAGGAAAUGAUUUUAGUUUGACGGUACCAUACCAGAAAGGGACGGCUAAAUACGUGCCAC